rnacentral:rRNA from 1 species
UACAGAGGGUGCGAGCGUUAAUCGGAAUUACUGGGCGUAAAGCGCGCGUAGGCGGCUUUGCAAGUCGGGUGUGAAAUCCCCAGGCUUAACCUGGGAACUGCAUUCGAGACUGCAUUGCUAGAGUAUGGGAGAGGGUAGUGGAAUUCCCGGUGUAGUGGUGAAAUGCGUAGAUAUCGGGAGGAACACCAGUAGCGAAGGCGGCUCGCUGGGCCGUUCCUGACGCUGAGACGCGAAAGCUAGGGGAGCGAACAGG